rnacentral:rRNA from 1 species
CUAGGGGCGAGCGUAUACAUGCAAGUCGAGCGAACAGAUGAGGAGCUUGCUCCUUUGACGUUAGCGGCGGACGGGUGAGUAACACGUGGAUAACCUACCUAUAAGACUGGGAUAACUUCGGGAAACCGGAGCUAAUACCGGAUAACAUAUUGAACCGCAUGGUUCAAUAGUGAAAGGCGGCUUUGCUGUCACUUAUAGAUGGAUCCGCGCCGUAUUAGCUAGUUGGUAAGGUAACGGCUUACCAAGGCAACGAUACGUAGCCAACCUGAGAGGGUGAUCGGCCACACUGGAACUGAAACACGGUCCAAACUCCUACGGGAGGCAGCAGUAGGGAAUCUUCCGCAAUGGGCGAAAGCCUGACGGAGCAACGCCGCGUGAGUGAUGAAGGUCUUCGGAUCGUAAAACUCUGUUAUCAGGGAAAAACAAAUGUGUAAGUAACUGUGCACAUCUUGACGGUACCUGAUCAGAAAGCCACGGCUAACUACGUGCCAGCAGCCGCGGUAAUACGUAGGUGGCAAGCGUUAUCCGGAAUUAUUGGGCGUAAAGCGCGCGUAGGCGGUUUUUUAAGUCUGAUGUGAAAGCCCACGGCUCAACCGUGGA